UAAUCAAAGAAGCCAACUUGAUAGGGUCUUGCAGAGGCACUUCAUAUAUAAAAAUAUAGGUGAUAUGAGUUGUUGCCUUUAUUUGUUGUUCCUCCUCUGCUAUGAAGGGGCUUAGUAUAGCUAUAUGAAGUGUUGUAUCAACAACAAAGAAAGAGAGACCCUGAAGAAUAGUCCAGGCACCAAAGACCUCAGCCAAAGAGUUGUGUCAAGCCACAGGACUUGUGUCAGAGCCAAGGAGGACUGAAUACAGUAUCUUUCUGUGAAGCAGAGUGGGCUCCAUAAGAGCUCAUCUUGGUAGAAAAAGAAGAUACAAGUGCAGCAGAGAUGUGUGGUUUUUGCAGCAUUCUCAACUUUCCAUAAAGGAAGUUCAGGAAUCUUCUGGAAGCUUGUUCAGCAAUCAGCAUCUGUUAACUUCUGUUGGCUUAUAUACACAAUGUAUACGAAGGAACUGAAAGUGAAACAUUCUCAGCCUAUGGAGGGGAAGACUUAGGGGAAGACCUUCUUGCUGUCUUUGGCUACAUAAUGGAAGAUAUGGAGAAGACUGAUACAGAGCCUUUUUAAAGGUGCAUUGAUAAAAACUUUUUUCAUGGUGAAGGUGGAGUCUCUAUCCUUGGAAAUGCACAAAACUCACCUGGACAAGGGUUGAGCAAUCUCAUCCAGCUGGACAUGCUUUGAGCUGGAGAUCUCUCUUUCAAUGUAAAUGGUUUCAUGAUUCUAAAAGCCAGCUCUUCCCCUUCCCUCUCCUGCUCUGCCCUCCCCUUCCCUUCUCUCCCCUCUUCUGAGUUCUAUACAAAAUAAACAACGUUAAUACACGCUAACACAGCUUGUCAGCUUCUUGGAUUGACACAGCAGUUAAAUGGUAAAACCAAAAGGCACUAAUAAUAAAUGUCUAUGACUUAUCUUGGAUUUUCUAUUUAUGGCAGAAAAAAGAAAAGCUAUUAAAAAAAAUUGUGUAAUUAGUGCUUUACCA